CCGAAAGCUAUUUAGGUAGCGCCUCGUGAAUUCAUCUCCGGGGGUAGAGCACUGUUUCGGCUAGGGGGCCAUCCCGGCUUACCAACCCGAUGCAAACUGCGAAUACCGGAGAAUGUUAUCACGGGAGACACACGGCGGGUGCUAACGUCCGUCGUGAAGAGGGAAACAACCCAGACCGCCAGCUAAGGUCCCAAAGUCAUGGUUAAGUGGGAAACGAUGUGGGAAGGCCCAGACAGCCAGGAUGUUGGCUUAGAAGCAGCCAUCAUUUAAAGAAAGCGUAAUAGCUCACUGGUCGAGUCGGCCUGCGCGGAAGAUGUAACGGGGCUAAACCAUGCACCGAAGCUGCGGCAGCGACACUGUGUGUUGUUGGGUAGGGGAGCGUUCUGUAAGCCUGUGAAGGUGUGUCGUGAGGCAUGCUGGAGGUAUCAGAAGUGCGAAUGCUGACAUAAGUAACGAUAAAGCGGGUGAAAAGCCCGCUCGCCGGAAGACCAAGGGUUCCUGUCCAACGUUAAUCGGGGCAGGGUGAGUCGACCCCUAAGGCGAGGCCGAAAGGCGUAGUCGAUGGGAAACGGGUUAAUAUUCCCGUACUUGGUGUUACUGCGAAGGGGGGACGGAGAAGGCUAUGUUGGCCGGGCGACGGUUGUCCCGGUUUAAGCGUGUAGGUGUGUGUUCCAGGUAAAUCCGGUUCACUUUAACACUGAGGCGUGACGACGAGGCACUACGGUGCUGAAGCAACAAAUGCCCUGCUUCCAGGAAAAGCCUCUAAGCAUCAGGUAACAUCAAAUCGUACCCCAAACCGACACAGGUGGUCAGGUAGAGAAUACCAAGGCGCUUGAGAGAACUCGGGUGAAGGAACUAGGCAAAAUGGUGCCGUAACUUCGGGAGAAGGCACGCUGACACGUAGGUGAAGUGAUUUACUCAUGGAGCUGAAGUCAGUCGAAGAUACCAGCUGGCUGCAACUGUUUAUUAAAAACACAGCACUGUGCAAACACGAAAGUGGACGUAUACGGUGUGACGCCUGCCCGGUGCCGGAAGGUUAAUUGAUGGGGUCAGCGCAAGCGAAGCUCCUGAUCGAAGCCCCGGUAAACGGCGGCCGUAACUAUAACGGUCCUAAGGUAGCGAAAUUCCUUGUCGGGUAAGUUCCGACCUGCACGAAUGGCGUAAUGAUGGCCAGGCUGUCUCCACCCGAGACUCAGUGAAAUUGAACUCGCUGUGAAGAUGCAGUGUACCCGCGGCAAGACGGAAAGACCCCGUGAACCUUUACUAUAGCUUGACACUGAACAUUGAGCCUUGAUGUGUAGGAUAGGUGGGAGGCUUUGAAGUGUGGACGCCAGUCUGCAUGGAGCCGACCUUGAAAUACCACCCUUUAAUGUUUGAUGUUCUAACGUGGACCCGUUACCCGGGUUGCGGACAGUGUCUGGUGGGUAGUUUGACUGGGGCGGUCUCCUCCUAAAGAGUAACGGAGGAGCACGAAGGUUGGCUAAUCCUGGUCGGACAUCAGGAGGUUAGUGCAAUGGCAUAAGCCAGCUUGACUGCGAGCGUGACGGCGCGAGCAGGUGCGAAAGCAGGUCAUAGUGAUCCGGUGGUUCUGAAUGGAAGGGCCAUCGCUCAACGGAUAAAAGGUACUCCGGGGAUAACAGGCUGAUACCGCCCAAGAGUUCAUAUCGACGGCGGUGUUUGGCACCUCGAUGUCGGCUCAUCACAUCCUGGGGCUGAAGUAGGUCCCAAGGGUAUGGCUGUUCGCCAUUUAAAGUGGUACGCGAGCUGGGUUUAGAACGUCGUGAGACAGUUCGGUCCCUAUCUGCCGUGGGCGCUGGAGAACUGAGGGGGGCUGCUCCUAGUACGAGAGGACCGGAGUGGACGCAUCACUGGUGUUCGGGUUGUCAUGCCAAUGGCACUGCCCGGUAGCUAAAUGCGGAAGAGAUAAGUGCUGAAAGCAUCUAAGCACGAAACUUGCCCCGA
rnacentral:rRNA from 1 species